CGAGAGAGAGAGAGAGAGAGACUUGGAGCGAGAGGGGAAAGCAACAACUGCGGAGAAAGUGAGCACAAAACAGAAAGUGAAAUCACCCCAGGCUGCCAGCCGCAUCCCCGAGAAGCUAUCACCACUCACAUUGCUAUUAGACAAAUGAAACCUUAAACCUCUCUCCUCUAAUGACCACUGAUUGCCCGAAGUGGUGAGGAAAGGCUAAACUGUUGUUAAGAUGGGAGUGCGGGAAGCAACCUCAAGCCCACAAAAUGAGAGAGAGAGAAGUUGUUGAUUCAUCUCUAUAUUUUUGGCACUUUCUCCCCAUUUUCCAGAAGGCGCCUGGAACAGUUAGUAACAGAGAAACUUUUUAAUUCUAAAAUAGCUUCAUAACUUAGAGGCCAAAAAGGCGAAGAGAAAGCCUGAUUCCGCUUUCCUCUUCUCUCUAGUAGAAAUUUGCGGGAUAGUUUAGACACAGAAGCAUACUCAGCCCCACUGUGAAUGAACCUGGCUUCAUAAGGACGUGAUGAAAAUUGAGUAUGGACGUGAUGGCACAAGACUGAUCUGAUCUGGCUUUAUUUCAUUUUGUUAACAUGCUGUAAAACUCCACACACUUCUGGAGUCGUGCACACUGCAUCCCCUACCUUGCUAUCCGAGGUACUAUCACCCCUCUCGAGUCGAGUCCAAGGAAAAAUGAGUUUUAAGUCUGAACCUCUUGGAGUAGCGGACCUAUUUUAGACAGUAUUUUGGGCAAUUCCAUUACAUGAAAGGAGCAAUCAAGUCCUAUUCGGCAAACAGCAAACACCUUGAAACAGAACUUUUAAAUUAUCUAGUAAAGCUUUAUCAUCAAAUUAGCUGGCUGAGGGCACAGCAGCCACUUUCUGUGCAUUCUUUCAAUUUUAAUAAAAGAUACUAAAAACCUGAAUUUUGGAGACGGCGUAAAUUGUAAGAUUGUAAAUACAGAGUUUGUAUUCACCUGCGUUCAGCUAAUUCAAAGUAUUCACCUUGCUGCAGUUAUCUGGGCUAUGGAUUUAACAACAGGAAAUAGCUGCCUUUCCAGAUCUUGCUAUGUCCUUUUUCAUCUUUAAUUACAAGAAUUCCCGUGACUGGUCACUAACGCGUUCCUUUUAACACACUUCAGCCUGCUGCAAGUAAAAGAAACACCUUGACUUUUUGCAUAACUAGUAGCUUUGGCGCGGAAAAAAAAAAAAAAAAAGAGAGAGCGCGCUCUGUAAGAAAAGAGAUGUAAUCAGAAUACAAGGAUGAACUACCCUGCCCGAGUUCGCAACCUCAUCAAUUUGUUACUGGAAGUUGCUUUUUUUCUUUCAAUAAACAAACGGGGAAAGAGAGGGAGAGAAACCCCACAAACACUCCUCAAGAUGUAGCGUCCUCCUUAUUAAGUACAAGGCGGUAAUGGGACAAGAGAUAAUUAAGGCGUCAAAUAAAUCUUACCGCCCACCUAGCUCUAAAUCGGGGAGCAUCUUGCUGCGCUCCCGCAAGCCCUCUGCAGCUAGUGACAUUCGCUGGGGCAGGACACCGCGGAGAUGCGUCCACGUUCCCAGGCGGAGCGCGAGUAGGCUCUCCAGCUUGUUGCUUCCCCGGUGUGAUCAAUGAAGUUACAGAUGGAACACACAGUGCCAGAGAUCUGCAACUUCUCCGCGGUAGAAGAGGGCUCCUUGGACAUUGUAUGCAAAUGUGCGGGUAUGUGCGCUGCACAGGAAGAAUUGCGGUCCCUUCUUUGUUUGCAUAUGUGAACACCCGCAGUGUAGGCACGUAUACACGUGCCAAGAAACAAGAAAACGCUUUUACUUUUAGCAUUACUAUACGUUUAGAGCCAGCGUUUUAAACUACUUCCCUUGCUUUCGCUUCAUUAAGGCUAAAAGCAGCCGGAGCUGGCAGCUCAAGCAGCUGUUGAGAAGGGAUGCUGAACUGCUAUGGGUCCUUGCAGAGGGAAGGGAUCGGAGGCGCUCAGUUCACGUCGGGCCACUUACCUGUUCAUAGCAGUCACUGCAUUUUGCGCCGUCUCCCUCAUAAAAUACGUUAAAGUAAAGCAACAUCCAACAAGCGAAGCAACCUGUCUGUGUGUUAAGUUUUACUUGCCGCAUCUUUAAGGUGAUGAGCAAACCUACAACUCCUGUAGAGUUGGUGGAACAAUCUCAGAAGUUUUGAUUCAAAAGGCAAGAAAUUCUACCUUAGAAGUCAUUCACCCAAUUCUAAACUCCCCUCUUACCAAUUAAUGCCGGACAAUUAACAGGCAUAUUUAUAAAUUCCCUCUGCUGACACUCUCUGACAAUGAAGACUUUUUAUAGGCUUGUUAGAGAUGUUGAGAGAAACUUCUGCAAAAUAAUCUGCAGCAUCUGAGAGAAAGCUAAAGGAAAAGAAGUUAAAGCCUGAUCAUCCGAUUGGGAGAAAGUUUUGUUAGACUAGAUGAAAGUACUGCAUGUUUCUUCAUAAUCAAACCCAUCAGCUGAUCCGAGUUCCCCUAGAACAAGAACCCCUGGCGAUUUCCCCAAAAUUCAGGGGACGUUUACAUUUUAUAGCGCCCAAAGCUAAAGAUCUGACUGAAAACAAAAACUCUGAAUUCCUUACAGCGUCAUCUGCAAACACAAUGUAUUGUCCUGGCGGAAAGAGGAUCAAGGAGAUUUUAAUUUCAUUUGAAACUGUGCAACAUCUUGAUAGGGAGGCAAAAAGCCACAGCAACAAUCUCCCCACUCCACCCCCCGUUCCAAAAAAAAAAAAGGGGGGGGGGGG